UAAAACUUCUUUUUCGAGUACAAAGGUUUUGAAAGCCUUUUUAGAAGAAUAAUUCUUCCGGUCUUAU
rnacentral:tRNA from 1 species